rnacentral:rRNA from 1 species
AGUAACGGCGAGUGAAGCGGUAAUAGCUCAAAUUUGAAAUCUGGCCUCUCGGGGUCCGAGUUGUAAUUUGUAGAGGAUGUUUUGGGUACCGCCCCGGUCUAAAUUUCUUGGAACAGAAUGUCAAAGAGGGUGAGAAUCCCGUCUUGGACCGGCGGUAGGGCCUGUGUAAAACUCUUUCGACGAGUCGAGUUGUUUGGG